rnacentral:rRNA from 1 species
CCUACGGGCGGCAGCAGUGGGGAAUAUUGCACAAUGGGGGAAACCCUGAUGCAGCGACGCCGCGUGAGUGAAGACUUACUUCGUUACGUAAAGCUCUAUCAGCAGGGAAGAAAAUGACGGUACCUGAGUAAGAAGCCCCGGCUAACUACAUGCCAGCAGCCGAGGUACUACGUAGGGGGCAAGCGUUAUCCGGAUUUACUGGGUGUAAAGGGAGCGUAGACGGUGCACCAAGUCUGGAGUGAAAUGCCGCAGCUCAACUGCGGGACUGCAUUGGAAACUGUCGAACUAGAGUGCGGGAGGGGUAGGCGGAAUUCGUGGUGUAGCGGUGAAAUGCGUAGAUAGUAGGAGGAACACCGGGGGCGAAGGCGGCUUACUGGACCGUAACUGACGUUGAGGCUCGAAAGCGUGGGGAGCAAACAGGAUUAGAUACCCGGGUAGUC